rnacentral:tRNA from 1 species
GCCGCGGUGGCGGAACUGGCAGACGCGCAUGGCUUAGGACCAUGUCCUAACGGGUGGGAGUUCAACUCUCCCCCGCGGCA